rnacentral:rRNA from 1 species
GACGAACGCUGGCGGCGUGCUUAACACAUGCAAGUCGAACGGAAAGGCCCUGCUUUUGUGGGAUGCUCGAGUGGCGAACGGGUGAGUAACACGUGAGUAACCUGCCCUGGACUUUGGGAUAACUUCAGGAAACUGGGGCUAACACCGGAUAGGAGCUCCUGCGGCAUGGUGGGGGUUGGAAAGUUUGGGCGGUUGGGGAUGGACUCGCGGCUUAUGAGUUUGUUGGUGGGGUAGUGGAUUACCAAGGCUUUGACGGGUAGCCGGCCUGAGAGGGUGAACGGCCACCUUGCGACUGAGAUACGGAGCAGACUGCUACGGGAGGCAAUGGUGGGAAAUCUUACCCAACGAGCGGGAGCGUAAUGCAGAGACCCUGGGUGCGGGAUCAGCGCCUUCGGGUUGUAAAACGCUUUCGGCUGUGACGCAGCGUGAGUGACGGUAAUGUAUGAAGAAGCACCGGCUAACUACGUG